CGAUGUUUUCUCUUUGCGAUGUUUUCUCCCACGAUGUUUUGUAGCACGACGUUUUCGCCUUGCGUUGUUUUCUCCGCGACGUUUUCGUCCGCGAUGUUUUUGCCGCGAUGUUUUCAGCUGUAACCAAUUGAAGUUAGAAAUAUGUAGUUGCCACAAUGCAUAUUUUUAAUAUCAUGAUUUAUAAAAGGUCAAAAUGAAAUAUUCUGUUUUUGCAUAAUGAAAUGAUAAAAUAAUUAUUCUUGAUUGAGUGUACAACAACAACAACAAAAAUUAUUUGUGCUAAUAAAUAACCAUAUUAAUUUAAAAUAUACAUUUUUACUUCAUUAGAAACAUUUGUCUUUGAAAUCUGCCUUACACUUUAAAAAAAAUAUAAAUAUCUCUUUUCUGUUUUUUAGGAAAUUUAGUUAUGACUCAAACUUUCUAAAUUGCAGCUAACAUGAAGUUUGAUUUAUCCGUGAUAUUACAGUGUAAAUAAAUCAUAACAUUUAUGAGAAUAAAUUAAUAUCCUAUAUAACCAUUGUUGAUUUCAUUGAAACUGCUUAUUACUCAUAAUUUCUUCUAAGUGUUAUAAUAAAAAAUUAUAUAAUCCAAAAGUCCAUGUUUAGUUUCUUAAAUUUACAAAGAUGAGAAACGAUAAAAUUUUAUGCAAGUAAAUCAGUUAUUCAUACAUUAAAAAAAAUCUUUCCUGAUUUCUCUAAGUAAUUUUGGGCCCUUAUGAUUAUUUAUCUGAGGUAAGUUUGUAUUUGCUAUUUUUCAACGUGUCUGUAAUCCUUUACUGUAAAGUAUGAAUUAGGUGUCAUUAAAAUUUACGAAGAAUGUUGUAUAUAUUUUUCAGAGGAAACUGUCACUAGAUUGACAUUACCCGAUAUUACAGAAGUUUAUUUGAAGGAGGUGAAUAUCAAAUUUGGACCGAGAAAGCAUAUUAUGCAAACAAUGAACAGAAUAAAGGUAACAAUGUAUUUUCAAUUACAGAAUAACAGUGAUCUGAAAGGCCAUUUUCGUCUUUUUAUUGACCAUUAGUGCAAGCCAUUUCUUCAUCUGUAAUAUCUAGAGAUGAAAUAUGCCCCACUGAAAAGGUCUGUGUAGAAGAUGCAAGUGCCAUUCGGCCUCAGGAUAUACAAAGAAAACAGGCUUCUUCAGACACACCCAAAAUACAUAAUCAGUAUACUUUAAGCAAGCUGAUAAAAUUUGUAUCUUAAUUUUAAUUACGUAAAAAGAUUAAGUGAUUUAUUAGUCAGUAAUUUAAAAUUUUCUCAAUCUUUUUAGGAUACUUUGGAUAUUAGACAUUGGGUUAGCAGUCACUCACAAGGAAAACAGCUCUGAGACAACUUGGAUAGGGGCUACUACAAGAUUGAUUAUAGACGGCUACUAAUUAGGAUAGUCUGCUCAAAAUGAGUAAAGUUAUGUGGAUCUGAAUAAUGUGGAUGAAAUUAAAAAAUUCCAUACAUCCCAACAGAAAGAAAAUUUAAGAUGUAACAAUGGUUGGUAGACAAGCUGGAAUAAGAGAUUCAGCCAUGACCGUAACAGGUGUUCUAGAGAGAUAUCAUAGACUUCAAGAUUAUAGAGGAAAUAUGGGAAUAGAAGACCUGGAGUCACUUUCAACAACUGGGAACAAAGAGACCAUUCUGAUGUGUUAGUCUACCAAAAUUCACAGGAUCAUUUUACAUCAAAGCAGAUUUUAUUGUAAAGAGAAGACAUUUAAUUCAAUCUUUGAUAUUUAUAUAUAUGUGAGAUUGAAUUAUAUAUAUGUGAUAAAAGGACUUUGCAAUACUGAUGUUGUAGAACAUAGAAUGUUGAAUCCGUUAUGAGCAGCAAGAAUUUUGAUGGCGUAGAAUGCUGAGAUGUUGAUUUAUAAUGAAUAAGAAACUGGCAACCGAGGAAGAUUAAAUCUUAAUUUUUAUUUCAGGAAACAUUUUGCGGCCAAAAUUUGGCACAUUAAUUAUGCCUAUUUCAACAUUUUUACAUUUUUGACAGCUUUGCAGUACGAAAAGAGUAGCAGGCAGCAGUCUAGUUAUGCUAUGUAGAAAAAAGUUAACAUUUUAAAUUUACUUGUACACACAUAUAUUUUGACUUACUCUUAAAGUUGUAUCACUCAUUGAGAAACACAGAGAACACUGAACAACUGGGGCUGGACAACAACAUUAAAAUAAAAGUAAACUCAUAUAAUAUCUGAUGGUGGUGACUAUAGUUAAAACAAAACACGUAAAUCAUCAACAUUGUAAAAUAAAUUAUAUUAUUUCAAAGCUCAAACUCCAUAACACAAUACUGAAUAGAUAAUACCCUCUCCGGAGUUUUGGUACAAAAUCGAAAGAUUAUUUUCCAAUAAAAUGCAAAAUGUGAAAAAUGCAAUUCACUAUUAAAUUGUACAAAUGCUAUCUCUCAUUAAAAAAUACUGAAUCCUCUGUCUUACCUGAAAACACGUAAAUCUCAGUACAACAAUUUCUAAACCCUAUAGAUAGCCACAAACACUUUUCAUUUAAAUAUAAACACAGAGCGUCUGAAAACACCAGCUAAGGAAUAACCACACAAGUAAGGUUCAAUCACCAGUUCAAAUAAAAUAAAAAAAUCCGAUCGUAUAGUACAAAUACACAUAAAAUUAAUUUCCCAAUUACAUCUCCUCUAUAACUUUACUUCCCAGGUUCGUUUAAAGAAUCCAUGUUUUGCGUAAGGAUCACAUGGGAGACAUGAAAUACAUAUAAAAUAACUCAAAUAAAACAUACAAUACUUAAUCACUAAACACGUUUAUUAAAUUUUCUAGAAUACCAUAAAUUAAGAUAGCUGGCCAGACUACACCUAUAAAAACAAUAUUUUAAAAAUACUCACAGUUUCACAUUUGACAUUCUAAAUAAUGACCAAUAUUCUGCCAAAUUAUUGGUAAUGUACUCUAAUUAUGUAAUUAUCACUCAUUUUCUUUCUGAAAUUUCUCUAUUUAACGGUUAUUUUUCUUUGUUUCAAAAUUUUCUUAUAAAUUAUUGCUUGUGUUUUAGUAAUGACUGAAAAUUUCGUUAUUGAUAAUGUGUAACUAAGAUUAAAAAACAGAAAAUAAAAUACAAUUAAGAAACAGUUUUUACGCAAUAAGGUUUUUAUUUAAAAUGGGUAUGAUAAUUAAUGCUAUAAAAAGGGACACUAAUUUAUCAUAUAGUUUAACGGAAGUAAUAAAUAAAGUAAUUUUAUUACAGAAUUCAUCUACAAUUUUAUAUUGUGAAUAAUAAAAGCAUAGGGUGUUUAAAUAAUAAAAUCUAUCAAUUUAAUUGAACUGUCAAAUGUAUAAGCCAUUAUCUUUUUAACUUUAUCAAAUUUAAAACCCCAUGCGUUUUUCAUUCGCAAUAUAAAAUUGCAAAUGAAUUCUGUAAGAAGAAUUAUUUAAUUUAUUAUUCCCAUUAAACUGCAUUGUAAAUUAUAUUUCUGUUUUAGAGAUUUAGUUAUGACAUCAAUUUUAAAUAAAAGCUUAUUGCAUAAAAACCUUUUUUAAUUCCAUUUAUCAGAAAGUUUUUUUAUGUAUUACUUUUAUCAAUUUGCAUCUAAGUUAUUCUAUUUAUGGAAAUAUUUGAACUAUGCCGUGCGUUGAGUUCUUAAACAUGUUUUUGUAAUAUCAAUAAAAUUGUAAAAAUAAUCAUCAUCUUCCAUGCAAGAUAUAUACAAGUUGUAGCACUAUUAUCAGAGCAUUUUGGGAGUUCAGUAUUUUAAGUAUGUUAUACAGAAAUAUAAAUGUAGAAUUAGACAAAUUUGUCAAGUUUAUAAUACAAACAUGUGAAAGUUUUAUCACCCUUCGUCUAAAGGUAUAACCAGAUAACAGUUGUAAUUCUUGCCCAGUCUUUGACUAGUUUCUCUGGGUCUCCAUUAAUUGACAUGCUGAUCACUGCGACAAGACUUAGAUUGUUGUCUGUAUGUAUGUCAUGUGUUCAAAAGUAUGUGCUUUGAAUUGUAAACUUGGGGAAUCAUUUUUUUAUUAUACUUAUUUUCAAGAUUCUAUGUAAGAUAAUCAGCUUUCAAUCAUUUCAUUAUAUCCUAUAUAAUAUGAAUUAAUGCAAUUAAAUAUGUGUGUAAUAUAAAUAAUGUUCCGUGUAAAUAUAUAUAGUGCAAUAAUAAGCAUCCAUAAUGUAAUUCCAGUCCAUGUGCAUUUAAAGUAAUGUAGUACAGUAAUGAAGAUGCAAUUCAAACUAGAUAUAAAAUAUGUAAAAAUAAUGAAUAAGAAUUAUAUACAGGGUGUCUCAAAAGGUCGUUACCAAACUUAACAUGAUGGUCUGCCAUACCAUAAUAAACAAGAUUUACGUAGAAACUGGUGUCGGAAAAUGCGAACGGCGACCGAAAGCGAGCAAUGUUCUCAGGCUUAUGAGAAAAUGGGCAGCGUAAUCAUUUCAGGCAAGGAUGUUGCAGGAGUCGCUUUACUAAAUCAGAAUUGGCCAAUAUGUAUUACAUGUAUGAUGCCGCGGAUGGAAAUGGACGAGCCGCGGUACGCAUAUACCUCAAGUGCUUUCCAAACAGACGCCAGCCAAGUCGUGCUUUGUUUGCACAAUUACAUCGCAGAUUGCGUGAGGCGGGAGCUUUUCAAGUAACCAUAUCGGCUGAGAACGCACACACAUAUCGCAGAGGAAGCUGAGCUAUGGGGAUUUGAGAAGAACACGGAAACACGUCUCCGAGCAACCGAGCGCGUUUUGCGUGUGUAUCGCUAUGCGCGUACUGGAUUAAGACAGGCUACACACCUACCACGUCGAAACAGUACAGGCAUUGUGCGAUGACGAUUAUCUCCCAACGCACUACAUUCGCACUUUGGUAUUUAUUUGCACAAACGGAUCGCGCAGCCGGAUUUUCCAUCGUGGAUUUUGUUUCCCGAUGAAGCCUUUUUUUAACACGGGACGGUGUUCUAAACCUUCACAACAUGCACGUGUGGGUGCAUGAAAACCCAAGGUUUACACGUGCCCUGGAAGUUAACAACGUUGCAUCAUAAACAUCUGGGCUGUUAUUAUCGGUGUUAACUGAUCCUUACGUACUACCUCAACGCCUUGACGGGAAAACCUAUCACACGAUUUUAGAAAGAGUGUUGGCGGAUCUGAUGAUUGACGUUCCAGCAACUACAUGCCGAAACAUCUGGUUUCAGCAGGAUGGAGCGCCUGCACAUUUUAGCAACCUGUGCGGGAAUACCUCGAUAGGACAUAUCCUGGUCUCUGGAUUGGCAGAGGUGGAACUAUCGAAUGGCCACCCCGAAACCCGACCUGACUCUCCUGGAUUUCUACAUGAGGGGAUACAUGAAGUGCAUGGCGUGCGAGACGAUCAAAGCAUUGGACAUGGUUCUUGUCUCCAGGACCGCCCUCUUCCCAUUUUGAACGGGUUCGUGAAUCCAUGAGUCAGUAUUGAGAAGCAUGUAUUGUGGAGGAUGGAAACCAUUUUGAAUAUCUUCUGUGAUUUAACCAUGUUAUUGAAUGAAAGUCAUAUUAACACCUCUUUCGAUAUUCCUUUUUUGUCCCCUUCUACACCUGCGAACAUUGCCCUCUAACGGUCACCGUUCGCAAUUUAGGAUACAAAUUGAACUGCAUUUUACUUUGUAUUUAUUCCCUUAUAUAUAUGUGUGUAUGUACGUAUAUUACAUUUUCUAAUAAAGAGCUUUUCAUGUAUUA